AGCAGAAGUUUCUUGGGUCAGUUAGUGGAUAUUUGCUGUUUGUAGGGCUGAAGGCAUGCACCUCUCUGUGGCUCACCAGCCACAGGCGGGAGAAGAACAGACUGUGGGCCAAGGAGGUCUGUGAGUUUUGGGAAAGUGAACCUCACUGCCAUUUUGACCGAACCCCAUUGGUGGUUUAGGGAUCUGAGCCCAUCUGGAGUCCACACACGAAGAGGAGUCAAGCUGCAAGCAGGACAAGAGCUCAUGGCUGGAGCUGCUCUUCCAGAUAAUUCUUGUCUGACCAAGUCUGGAGAAGAGCAAUAUUCACUUAGAGGGGCCUGUGAUAUUAAACAAAUGCAACUGUCUCCAAAGAAUUUUUACCAAUAGAAAUUGUGUUAUGAAGCAGUUGCUUGUCCA